AUAGUCUGAAGGGAUAAAGUGUUCCAUUUUAUACCUGGUUAAUAUAAAUACAGUGGUGCUGAAGGAAGAUCAUUACUUGGUUAAAAUCCUACUCACAGCUGGCAGAAAGGCCAUUACAAGAAACUGGCUUGCAGCGGACACACCCAGACUUAGACAAUGGUUAGACAUAGUACAGAAAAUAUUUGUGAUGGAGAAAAUGACAUAUUCUCUAAGAGUGAAAGAAGACGAGUUUAACAGAAAAUGGGAAAAAUGGAUUAGGUAUAGAAAUAAAGACAUCAAUACUGUAUAAUUUUAUUGACAAUAAUGUAAGUUAUUGGAAUAUGUUUCAAUAAGAAAAUAGUUCUGUAGACGGCAUCAUUAAUUGUAAGCUGCACUGUUGUACGUUUCACUGCAUUGUUGUAUGUUUCGUUGUUAUAUUUGUGUUUUAUUUGUGUAUGCAUAAAAGCAAUAAAGACUACAGUG